AAAAAAAAUCAAUAAAAAUAAUUUAAAAAGGAGCUUAUUAAGCGCUUGAGAUGGAUACCUGAUACUGAAUAGCACGGCAUCACAGGUAUAACAAUCUACCUGUGGACUACAGAACUAAUUUUUCUAAACUCCUAAGUUACAGAGAAACUGUAUUUUCACAAAGUAUUGAAUAAAUUAUUAUUACAUAGUAUGGACCACCUGCUACCGAUUCUGUCUGANGAGGAAUACAGAGCUGAAGUCGAAUUGUUUGAUAAGGCCAGAGAUCCGGAUGAAGUAGACAAUGUGAUAAAGAGAUGGUUGAGACUAUAUCUACCCAUAUUGAAGCCUGGUGAACUCACGCAGAAUGCCCUAGAUAUUAUUAAAUGCAGAGUUACACAUACGGAGAAAAUAACUAAGCUUUCAAGAAUAUAUAGAAGUUUUAUGAAACACCAAAAAAGCUCUACCAAUCAAUUAAAUGUCUCUGCAAGCGACGCAUACACGACGCAUGCUGGAUCAAGUACAAGUAGUUUUAGCGUUNCAGCACCCUCAGUACACAGCACAGGUACACCAACAUUUACCCCCCCAUCACCUGCGGCAAGUUCAUUGCCUAUGCGAAUACCAAAUUUGUCCCCUACUGACGACUGUAAGUACACAGUGAUUGGUCCNAAUGGCACAACAGUAUGCACCAGAGAUUUCCAAGAUAUAUCCUUUAAGGCGCCGGCCGUGGCCACGCGCAGUUUGCUUUGUUUGGUUUUCACGGAAGAGGUCUUGGCGAGAAAUACACUCAGCGGUAAACCCUCACCAGCAUUUAAGGGUCGUGAACGUCCUCUUAAGGGACAACUAAAUCUGGACAAAGUUUCGGAUAUCAUACAUUGUAUUACNUCGCGCACAGAUUUCACUGAAAGGAAUGUUCGCACCAUAAUCACCACAAAAUGUUCGGAUAGCACAAAGAAGUUAAAGAAACUGAAANAGAAGCAAGAAUAGAAGCCACGGUGACUCGGNAGCCACAAAUUAUAUGUUCAAUUUGGUUUUAUAUUUUAUUUUAUGUUAUCUAAAGAUGGUUUAUGUACAAACAUAUAUGUAUAUAUAAUUAGUUGAUUGAUAAGUUGCGACAAGUGAUCUUUGAUUUGUCUAUGGAUAAGAUAUUUCAUAUAUGUGAUUUCAUAAUUUAAUCUAUUGCAACAAUGACAAGGAGUAAGGAAAACGAAUAAGAAUAACGGGGAGAGAAGGAUACUCACUUUCAGGGCGGAUUAGUUGCAAGCACGUUUAUGUUCCAUAGUCCUGCCUUGUAUGAUUUAUGUUUAUUGCUGUAUUUGUAAGUAUUUUACGUAAUUUAUAAGUUUUUCUAUACAUUUUUAUUAUAUACUUGUAUAAUUAAUAAUUUUAAUACGUUUAAAAAAACUUGUGGGUGUAAGGACAAGUUGAGAUGAAACACAAAGGAAAUACUUUUAAGACAAAUAAGUUAUGAGCUCAUAUUUUAAGGAAAUAUUAUCUAAUCAUACCAUGUUAUUGUAGAUAAUUUAUAUAUUAAUGUUUAGUUUACUUGUUCNACAGUUAAGUAUUAUAAUUUGUAAUUAUUGUUUGACUUUAAUAUGUAAU
rnacentral:misc_RNA from 1 species